AUGGCUUCUCCUUCCUCCUCCCCAGUCGCCCUCCGCGGCGCCGCCACCUUGGCCGCGCUGCUGGCGGCCGUCUGCCUCCUCCACGCCGGCGGGGCGGCGUUGGCGGCGGCGGACCUGUGCGUGGACUACUACGACUGCACGUGCCCGGACGCGUACAAGAUCGUGCAGGGGGUGCUGGUGCAGGCGCACAAGUCGGACCCUCGCAUCUUCGCCAGCCUGAUCCGGCUCCACUUACACGACUGCUUCGUGCAGGGCUGCGACGGCUCGCUGCUGCUGAACACCUUCAACGGGAUGGAGACGGAGCAGGACGCCAUUCCCAACAAGGGCUCGGCGCGCGGCUACAGCGUCGUCGACGCCGCCAAGGCCGCCCUCGAGGCCGCCUGCCCCGGCGUCGUCUCCUGCGCCGACAUCCUCGCCAUCGCCUCCGAGAUAUCGGUCCAGCUGUCCGGAGGACCCGGGUGGAGCGUCUUGCUGGGGAGGCUGGAUGGCUUCACGUCCAACUUUACCGCAGCCGGGGAACUACCAGGCCCAUUCGACCCCCUCAACACUCUGAAAGAAAAGUACAGAACGGCCACGCUCGACGAUACUACCGACCUCGUCGCUCUCUCUGGCGCCCACACUUUCGGCCGCGUGCAAUGCCAGUUUGUCACCGACAGACUGUACAACUUCAGUGGCACGAACCGGCCUGACCCGACCCUCAACCCAGGCUACAGGGCUUUCUUGUCCCAGCGAUGCCCAAGGAACGGACCCGUGGGUUCCCUGAACGACCUCGACCCGACAACACCCGACAAGUUCGACAAGAACUACUUCACGAACCUCAAGGUGAACCGCGGCUUCCUCUAG
rnacentral:rRNA from 1 species